GACCCCUUGUAGACGACGAGGUAGAUAGGUUGGAGGUGGAAGUGCAGCAAUGCAUGGAGCUGACCAAUACUAAUCGGUCGAGGGCUUAUCCAA
rnacentral:rRNA from 1 species